AUUGAACGCUGGCGGCAGGCCUAACACAUGCAAGUCGAACGAGUGGCGGACGGGUGAGUAAUGUCUGGGCAACUGCCUGAUGGAGGGGGAUAACUACUGGAAACGGUAGCUAAUACCGCAUUCCAUCAGAUGUGCCCAGCUGGGAUUAGCUGGUUGGUGGGGUACCGGCUCACCAAGGCGACGAUCCCUAGCUGGUCUGAUGGGAUGACCAGCCACAGUGGAACUGAGACACGGUCAAGACUCCACCGGGAGGCAGAAGUGGGGAAUAUUGCACAAGGGGGGAAAGCCUGAUGCAGCAAUGCCGCGUGGAUGAAGAAGGCCUUCGGGUGGUAAAGUACUUUCAGCGGGGAGGCGUUACCCGCAGAGGAAGCACCGGCUAACUCCGUGCCAGCAGCCGCGGUAAUUC
rnacentral:rRNA from 1 species